ensembl:snoRNA
CCUCUCCCUAGAGGCACUGCAGGCGUGGCUGCUGUGUCACGCUUGCAACAGUAGGUGGCAGGAAGGAGAGAAGCCGUGGCGGUGCUCAGCGUCCUGACCCUUGAGCACCUGAACGGUUAGUGAGUAGCCUCACGCU